rnacentral:lncRNA from 1 species
AUGAUAGUGAUUAACUCUCAUGAAAUCUGAUGGGUUUAUCAGUAGUUUCUGCUUUUGCUUCUUCUCUCAUUUUUCUCUUGCUGCCACAAUGUAAGAAGUGCCCUUCUGGGAAGGGCAGUAGAGACUGCCCUGUGCUGUAGCUCAGUAACUAAGGUUUUGGCCUUUCACACUGGUGGUCUGAGUUUGAUUUCCUGCUUAGGAAGUUGUCUAAUAAAGAGAAAUGGCACCAGAUUGGAAGACAGAAGUCAGGCUGAGGCCUUGUUCCUGCUUAUGUUUUUUAUAGAAAACGAGAUCAUAAAGGGAUAGUGUCAUAAGCCAGUAUACUCUGGAAAUAAGAGGAAAAUAAAGAGAUAGAAUUUCUCUCUGACUUCAAGGGAGCUAUCAGGUUGUGUUCCCUUUCUAGCUGGUUGCAGUAGGGAAAGCCAAAGUAACUGCAAAAACCAGAUUCUGAAGAUGCCAUGAUAUCUGACUUCUUGAAUAUCCAGUUGAUGACAAAGAACUGCCCUGUCCUGCUAUCUUUUCCGCUCACUCUGAACUAUUAUUUAAAUAAGAAAUAAACUCCCUUAUGUUUGAG